CGCAGCCGAAAGAAAGGAAGCAGCACAGGCUGAAAUCGAAAAGUUAAUCAAGGCUGGGCACAUUCGGGAAGUUAAGUACCCAAAAUGGCUAGCAAAUCCAGUCAUGGUUAAAAAAUCCAAUGGGAAAUGGAGGAUGUGCGUAGACUUCACAGACCAUAACAAAGCAUGUCCAAAAGACAGCUAUCCACUCCCAUCCAUCGACAGAUUAGUAGAUGCAGCUUCAGGAAAUGAAUUGCUAUCUAUGAUGGAUGCACAUUCAGGGUACAACCAGGUUCUGAUGAAAAAAGAUGAUGAAGAAGCCACAUCAUUUAUCACAGAUUGGGGAACAUACUGCUACAAAGUCAUGCCCUUCGGACUACGAAAUGCAGGAGCAACCUUCCAAAGGCUAAUGAACAAGGUUUUCAAAAAGCAAGAAGGAAGAAAUGUCCUGGCAUACGUAGAUGACAUCCUGGUGAAAUCCAAAAAAGCAGAUGAACACCCAAAUGAUCUGAAAGAAACCCUGGAAACUCUACAGAGUUAUGGGAUGAGGUUAAACCCCGCCAAAUGCUGCUUCGGAGUACAAGAAGGAAAAUUUCUUGGAUUCUAUGUAAGGCAGGAGGGAAUAAAACCAAAUUUCUUGGAUUCAAUAUAUUAUCACUCCAAAAGGCUACAGGGGGUAGAAACACGAUAUCCUCCCGUGGAAAAAAUAGUCCUGGCAGUAGUACACGCAGCACGCAGAUUCCGAGCAUACUUUCUGGCUCACACAAUUAAAGUCUUGACAGAACAUCCACUGCGCAGAAUACUCCACAGGCCAGAUACUUUCGGAAAACUGACGAAGUGGGCUCUGGAACUAAGCGAGUUUGAUGUAGAUUUUGUCUCUGCCACUGCCAUCAAAGGGCAAGCAGUAGCAGACUUCAUUGUAGACAUGACCUAGGAAAGUAAGGAAAAACCUUGGAUAGUAGAGGUUGAUGGCUCAAGCUGCAGUACAGGUGCAGGAGUGGGAAUAAAAGUAAUCACUCCAGACCAAAGGAUAUAUGAACAUUCUGUCAGAUUACAAUUCUCAACUACAAACAAUAUAGCAAAAUACGAGGCUGUAAUCCAGGGCGUGAAAAUACUCAAAAGAUUGGGGGCCUGUUCAAUAAUCAUCAGAACAGAUUCUCAACUAGUAGCUCGGCAAUUUACAGGGGAAUUCAUAGUUAAAGAACCUCUGAUCAUGCAGUACGCAGCUACACUAGAAAAAAUCAAAGUACAGUUCACUAAGGUGGAGGUAGAACAGAUUCCAAGGAGUCAAAACAACUCAGCUGAUGCCCUAGCAAAGCUAGCAUCUGCUUUCGAAGGGGGGCAGAGAGAGAUACUGGUUGAC
rnacentral:lncRNA from 1 species